rnacentral:ncRNA from 1 species
UUUUGCAGGGGAGCUUGUGCUACAGGCUGAGAGGAAGGUGCCACCUUCGACCCGUGACCUGAUUUGGAUAAUGCCAACGUAGGGAGCUGAACAAAG